GACGAACGCUGGCGGCGUGCUUAACACAUGCAAGUCGAACGGAAAGGCCCUGCUUUUGUGGGGUGCUCGAGUGGCGAACGGGUGAGUAACCCGUGAGUAACCUGACCUUGACUUUGGGAUAACUUUAGGAAACUGGGGCUAAUAUCGGAUAGGAGUUCCUGCUGCAUGGUGGGGGUUGGAAAGUUUCGGCGGUUGGGGAUGGACUCGCGGCUUAUCAGCUUGUUGGUGGGGUAGUGGCUUACCAAGGCUUUGGCGGGUAGCCGGCCUGAGAGGGUGACCGGCCACAUUGGGACUGAGAUACGGCCCAGACUCCUACGGGAGGCAGCAGUGGGGAAUAUUGCACAAUGGGCGGAAGCCUGAUGCAGCAACGCCGCGUGCGGGAUGACGGCCUUCGGGUUGUAAACCGCUUUCGCCUGUGACGAAGCGUGAGUGACGGUAAUGGGUAAAGAAGCACCGGCUAACUACGUG
rnacentral:rRNA from 1 species